rnacentral:rRNA from 1 species
CCUACGGGAGGCAGCAGUGGGGAAUAUUGCACAAUGGGCGAAACCCUGAUGCAGCGACGCCGCGUGAGUGAAGAAGUAUUUCGGUAUGUAAAGCUUUAUCAGCAGGGAAGAAAAUGACGGUACCUGAGUAAGAAGCCCCGGCUAACUACGUGCCAGCAGCCGCGGUAAUACGUAGGGGGCAAGCGUUAUCCGGAUGUACUGGGUGUAAAGGGAGCGUAGACGGUAGGGCAAGUCUGGAGUGAAAGGCGGGGGCUCAACCCCAGGACUGCCCUGGACACUGUACGGCUGGAGUGCAGGAGAGGUAAGUGGAAUUCCUGGUGUAGCGGUGAAAUGCGUAGAUAUUAGGAGGAACACCAGUGGCGAAGGCGGCUUACUGGACUGUAACUGACGUUGAGGCUCGAAAGCGUGGGGAGCAAACAGGAUUAGAUACCCCUGUAGUC